rnacentral:rRNA from 1 species
AGUGAACGCUGGCGGUAGGCCUAAUACAUGCAAGUCGAACGGCAACACAGUAAGAGCUUGCCCUUACGGGUGGCGGGUGGCGGACGGGUGAGGAAUACAUCGGAAUCUACUUUUUCGUGGGGGAUAACGUAGGGAAACUUACGCUAAUACCGAAUACGACCUACGGGUGAAAGCAGGGGAUAUUCGGACCUUGCCCGAUUGAAUGAGCCGAUGUCGGAUUAGCUAGUUGGCGGGGUAAAGGCCCACCAAGGCGACGAUCCGUAGCUGGUCUGAGAGGAUGAUCAGCCACACUGGAACUGAGACACGGUCCAGACUCCUACGGGAGGCAGCAGUGGGGAAUAUUGGACAAUGGGCGUAAGCCUGAUCCAGCCAUGCCGCGUGGGUGAUGAAGGCCUUCGGAUUGUAAAGCCCUGUUGUUAGGAAAGAAAAGCAGCAGGUGAAUACCCCGCCGUUCUGACGGUACCCAAAGAAUAAGCACCGGCUAACUUCGUG